CAAUGGGGGAAACCCUGAUGCAGCGAUGCCGCGUGAGUGAAGAAGGCCUUUGGGUUGUAAAACUCUUUCGUCGGGGAAGAAAAUGACUGUACCCGAAUAAGAAGGUCCGGCUAACUUCGUGCCAGCAGCCGCGGUAAUACGAAGGGACCUAGCGUAGUUCGGAAUUACUGGGCUUAAAGAGCUCGUAGGUGGUUAAAAAAGUUGAUGGUGAAAUCCCAAGGCUCAACCUUGGAACUGCCAUCAAAACUUUUUAGCUAGAGUGUGAUAGAGGUAAGUGGAAUUUCUAGUGUAGGGGUGAAAUUCGUAGAUAUUAGAAAGAACACCAAAAGCGAAGGCAACUUACUGGGUCACUACUGACACUGAGGAGCGAAAGCAUGGGUAGCGAAGAGGAUUAGAUACCCUCGUAGUCCAUGCCGUAAACGAUGUGUGCUAGACGUUGGAAAUAUAUUUUUCAGUGUCGCAGCGAAAGCAUUAAGCACACCGCCUGGGGAGUACGACCGCAAGGUUAAAACUCAAAUGAAUUGACGGGGACCCGCACAAGCAGUGGAGCAUGUGGUUUAAUUCGAAGAUACGCGCAGAACCUUACCAACACUUGACAUGUUCGUCGCGAGACUAAGAGAUUAGUCUUUUCAGUUCGGCUGGACGAAACACAGGUGCUGCAUGGCUGUCGUCAGCUCGUGUCGUGAGAUGUUGGGUUAAGUCCC
rnacentral:rRNA from 1 species